UCUUUAGCUCAAUUGGAUAGAGCAUUUGUCUACGAAACAAAAGGUUAUAGGUUCAAGUCCUGUAAGGU
rnacentral:tRNA from 1 species